UGGCUCAUGACUUGUGUAUUCUAAUUUCUAAAGCGAAGUUCAAUAUUUAUAAUUUCUUCACAAACACGACACGAAACGGACAUUACACACGACAGAAGAAAACUGCAUAGUCAAUUUAGUCAAGUAGGACUUUUGCUUACCCAGGGCAGGCUACACUGAAGAAUUUUUUUGUGACAGUGUUUUCUGUAAUUUUCCUCUAAAACAAUUAUAUUGUUUCUUCCCUUAAUACGCUCUGUCCACAGAUCUUAUGAUACACUGUCCUACAUUCACAUAACACACAGUAACAAAAAACGACACUGUUUAACUAAGAACUAUUCUGUAUAUUAUGGACAAUUUGCACAGGAUUUGUCGUUCGCUUGUAACUCGUCGCGCCAUUUUUGGUGUGAACCAAUUCAUUUUGGUUUCGCUGAACUUUUCUUCGAUGUGUUUCCUUGCUUUUGUGCAAACGUCUCAAUUGGUUGCUUCACAGCUGUUGAAUAAUUGUUUCAAGACAUUUUUGCGUUUCAUUGUUUAAUUCCCUUCCUUUUUGUUUUGCUCAUUGAUUUGUCAACUUCUGAUAAAAAAAGAAAAUUCUCUCCAGCCAUUGACGGAUUAUCUUGUGUGUCUUUCGCAACAAUUAAAUAGACUUGAUUUUCAAUUUGAAAUACUUACUAUGUAUUAUAGAGCUAGUGAUUGUUUAGAAGGCUCAAAAUGUCAUGACCUCUAUAUCUUUAGGUGGGAUUGUAAAUGGCUAGUGGCAACACACUGGCCACUGGCUGAGGAAUGACACCGAAAAAGCUUUUUUAUGUCAACAAUAAACGAUGUAAGGUGGUAGAAGUUGGUCAAUUGUUUAUAUAUUUUUAUUUUAUGCAAAGUAAAGAUAAAAGCGGAAACGACACAAAUGAAUGGGUGCAUGAUGGGUAUAAACAAAGGGAUUGUUUCCCGAAUCUUCCGUGCACAUUACUGUUGCAUGAUGGUAUGGGGACUUCCCCUCGCAGAUGAUGCACACGACAAUAGUGAUUGUUGCAUCCGUUAUGCAUGAUUAAAGAAUGAAAUUCAUGUUCAUGUAUAUUAAACACACAGCGUCAUGAGGCACAUCAGAAAGAUAUUAAUGGAUAUCGGUUCCCUCUGGUUGUUGCAUUUCACUGGUGUGUCAUGUAGCUGUGGCAGAAUGAAUGAUUUAAGUUGUUAAAGUUGGUCAACUGUAUUUACAUUCGAUUUUAUACAAAGUAAGGAAAAGGGCAAAAAACGGUGGAAAAAAUCCAGAGUUUACUUGAAUCAAACACGGACGAGAGGAAAAUCUCUAGAGCUUGAAGAAAGUACAUCAAGACGAAAAUAAUUCCGUCCACAAAACGUUGCAGAGAGCGUUGCAGAGGAUCAAGGAAUGGAAUCUGGAGCAGAAAGUCAGACUGAAUAUUUAAUAUUUUACUCGUACUUUUAUAUUUGGAACUUCUUAUUGAAUUGUAUGAUUUAAAUCUUUCUUCAAUUCCUGAUGAACUAUAAAUAUCUAUAAUUUGUACAAGUGCGCCGUGAACAUAAUAAUAAUUGAAAUAUUUACUAAUUAGAACAAAUGUUCUUUUCGAUGUCGUAUUUUCUAUUUGUGACACCAAAUUUAUAAAUUGGUAUCAUAACCGGUUGUCAUAUUCCAGGUCUGACCCUUCCAAACGUAUGAACCUUCUUCGUCACUAAAACGUCACAAACCAUUUUCACGACAGACAUCGAAUAAUAAUCGGCGAAUACCGAUAGUUUCCACCGGAUGUUUCCGACAAUCGGUAACAAUCAGUCAUGUAAAAUCAAACUGUAAACUUGUUCGUCUGUAUUUAAAGUAUUACCGUUUGAGGUUCUUGAAAAGUUUUCAAUGAAAAAUGCAACUGAUUGAACAAUCUGCGUUAUAUCUUUGUACAUAUUUUGUGCAAUCAUCAACAUAAAGAAUUGUUUGUAUUUCUAUUUCAAAAUCGAGCGACGUUUAAUAUUAUGACUUCAUUUAGAUAAAUCCCAUUUCACCACCUACCUAUGUUGUCACGACAACAACAAUGAAUCUAGAAGAAGGUUUAAAAGCUUUGGAAACAUCAAUCAAAACCAUUAAAAAGUCAUUAUGAACAAGAAAGGAACAUUUGUUUUACAACAAGCUCCAAAGGUUGUCACAGAUAUGGAUGAAGCAUACUUUGCCAAGGAAAUGGAAAAACUUGAACGUCAAAAUGCAGAAGUUGAUGGUGAUGAUGAUAAUCCUGAUGAUGAAGAAUAACAAGAGCUUGUUUUGACUCUUGGUUGGGAGAUGUUUCCAUCACGAAAGUCAAAGUGAAAGUGAUAUCUGACGACGUCAUGAGCUCGACGCAGUUUAUAAACAUUUACAAGAACCAAUCAAAACUUUGAUUUCACCACCCAAUGAAAAUUCUGAUUCUGAUCAUAAUUAUGUACAUUGACGCCCACCAUUCUUUGACGUAAAUGGAUUAAACUAAACCAUCGCAUCUUCAUGUUGUCAGAUUUAUACUUCAGAAGAGAGGCUGCUGUGAGAGAUUUCUUUUCUUUUGAGAAGAAAGAAAAAAGCGAAGCGAUGGAUAAUGUCUCCAUUUUGAAUCGAAUGGGCGUUUGUUUGGAACUGAGAUUUUUAGCACCAUGGAAACGUGACGUCACCACUUAAGGACUCUAUAUUAACUAAUUAGAACAAAUGUAUUUUUCAAUGUUGUAUUUUCUAUUUGUGAAAAAGGAAAUUUUCAAAUUUUCAAAUUCCUUAAAUCCAGUGUUUACUUGAAUCAAAUACGGACGAGAAUAAAGAUCGGAACAUCGCGAGAGCUUGGAAAAUUGAAUACGUCACUGAAUACGUCACAAACCAUUUUCACGACAGACAUCGAAUAAUAAUCGGCGAAUACCGAUAGUUUUUUUCCACCGGAUGUUUCCGAGAAUCGGUAAAGUCAGUCAUGAAAACUCAAACUGUAAACUUGUUCGUCUGUAUUUAAAGUAUUAUCGUUUGAGGUUCUUGAAAAGUUUUCAAUGAAAAAUGCAACUGAUUAAACAAUCUGCGUUAUAUCUUUGUACAUAUUUUGUGCCAUCAUCAACAUAACGAAUUGUUUGUAUUUCUAUUUCAAAAUCGAGCGACGUUUAAUAUUAUGACUUCAUUUAGAUAAAUCCCAUUUCACCACCAACCUAUGUUGUCACGACGACAACAAUGAAUCAAGAAGAAGGUUUGAAAGCUUUGAAAACAUCUAUCAAAGCCAUUGAAGAAGUCAUUAUGAACAAGAAAGGAACAUUUGUUUUACAACAAGCUAUAAAUCCCAUUUCACCACCAACUUAUGUUGUCACGUCAACAACAAUGAAUCGAGAAGAAGGUUUGAAAGCUUUGGAAACAUCUAUCAAAGCCAUUGAAGAAGUCAUUAUGAACACGAAAGGAACAAAUGUUUUACAACAAGCUGAAUCACGGCAAAUCUUUGGCUCGUGGUCGAUGGUAAUUAUCGGAAUUAGCGGGAAAAACUACGUCAGAGGUCUGGUACCGACACAGAGACGCGAUUCUAGUCAUUUCUUUCUGGAUAGAACGCCGUCCAUCGAAGCUCCUCAGUUCGUAGAUAUAUAAAAAUUGCCAAAUACCAGCAGUUAUCCUUCUGCAAAAGUGAGAUUUGGGUGAGAGCUUUAAGACUUUUGGUUCUUCCUUUGAUUGUAUCCAGCUUGCUUUUGGCAGUCGCUGAAUUGGAGUCAAAACAGAGCGGAAAAUUGGGAAGAAGAACAUUGCUGUAUUAUCUUAUGACUACAAUGUUUGGGGAGUAAUUUGUUUAUUUGCAUUUAACCUGGAAAUGUUAACGUGAAAGAACCAGAACCGAAGGAAGAAAAAGUUGAACCAAUACCUUCUGUGCUUGAUCUUAUAAGGCAAAACGACUGUCGUUUCGACGUGCAUUCUAUAUGGCAUAAAAUGGAGUCGAUUGAAUGUGCGGAAAAUCGUUUAAUAUUGAAGUACCUGAACUUGGAGGUCCAACUCUGACUGAAUCUUCAUGUUGGCCUACAUACAAUACUCUAGAUGACGUCAUCUUUUAUUCUUUUUAUCGUUUAAAAUAAGACACGGGUACGAGAAGUUGGUAGGUGGCCCAGAAUGUACAGUGGAGCCACUUCAUUGAAUUUCAGAUUCAAUUUUUUUCUUGCCACGCAUACCUUAUUAUGCAUAUAAUUACCGUAGUGGCAAUCAUGUUUUUUGACCAAUAGGAUUGAUGAAAAUGCUUAGGACCAAACGAUUAAAGAUAAUACAUCACGCAUUAUACAUGUACACACUCAUCGCCUU